rnacentral:rRNA from 1 species
AUUGAACGCUGGCGGAAUGCUUUACACAUGCAAGUCGAACGGCAGCACGGACUUCGGUCUGGUGGCGAGUGGCGAACGGGUGAGUAAUGUAUCGGAACGUUGCCAGGCGUGGGGGAUAACGUAGUGAAAAUUACGCUAAUACCGCAUACGAUCUAUGGAUGAAAGCGGGGGAUCGGAAGACCUCGCGCGCUUGGAGCGGCCGAUAUCAGAUUAGGUAGUGGGUGGGGUAAAGGCCCACCAAGCCAACGAUCUGUAGCUGGUCUGAGAGGACGACCAGCCACACUGGAACUGAGACACGGUCCAGACUCCUACGGGAGGCAGCAGUGGGGAAUUUUGGACAAUGGGCGAAAGCCUGAUCCAGCCAUUCCGCGUGCAGGAUGAAGGCCCUCGGGUUGUAAACUGCUUUUGUACAGAACGAAAAGGUUUCUACUAAUACUAGGAGCUCAUGACGGUACUGUAAGAAUAAGCACCGGCUAACUACGUGCCAGCCGCCGCAGUAA